rnacentral:rRNA from 1 species
UACGGAGGGGGCUAGCGUUGUUCGGAAUUACUGGGCGUAAAGCGCACGUAGGCGGCUUUGCAAGUCAGAGGUGAAAGCCCGGGGCUCAACCCCGGAAUAGCCUUUGAGACUGCAUCGCUAGAAUUGUGGAGAGGUAAGUGGAAUUCCGAGUGUAGAGGUGAAAUUCGUAGAUAUUCGGAAGAACACCAGUGGCGAAGGCGACUUACUGGACACAUAUUGACGCUGAGGUGCGAAAGCGUGGGGAGCGAACGGG